rnacentral:rRNA from 1 species
UAAGCCCUACGGGGGGCAGCAGUGGGGAAUAUUGCACAAUGGGGGGAACCCUGAUGCAGCGACGCCGCGUGAAGGAAGAAGUAUUUCGGUAUGUAAACUUCUAUCAGCAGGGAAGAAAAAGGACGGUACCUGACUAAGAAGCCCCGGCUAACUACGUGCCAGCAGCCGCGGUAAUACGUAGGGGGCGAGCGUUAUCCGGAUUUAUUGGGUUUAAAGGGUGCGUAGGCGGAGUGUCAAGUCAGCGGUAAAAUUUCGGGGCUCAACCCCGUCGUGCCGUUGAAACUGACGCCCUUGAGUGAGUGAGA